rnacentral:rRNA from 1 species
UACGAAGGGUGCAAGCGUUACUCGGAAUUACUGGGCGUAAAGCGUGCGUAGGCGGUUUGUUAAGUCUGCUGUGAAAGCCCCGGGCUCAACCUGGGAACGGCAGUGGAUACUGGCAAGCUAGAGUGUGUCAGAGGAUGGUGGAAUUCCACGUGUAGCUGUGAAAUGCGUAGAGAUGUGGAGGAAUACCAAUGGCGAAGGCAGCCCCCUGGGAUAAUAUUGACGCUCAUGCACGAAAGCGUGGGGAGCAAACAGG